rnacentral:misc_RNA from 1 species
AUCGCCGCGGCUCAUUCAACAACGCGUGUGGGAGGCACCCUGACCAUCCAACGGCCUGCUCACGCACACGUGUGUACGUCGGUGCGGGUGUGUUGCCUUCCUUUAUUAUCUCUUCCCUCUUUUGUUGCUACCGUCACCGGGUGACCCCGCUCCUUGCCGCGACUACCUUCUCAGUUGCUUCCCUGGUUACGUCGGAACGCUUCUUUCACUCCCCAGCAUCGUCGACGUGGCGCGAGGUGUGUGCCAUCACGGAGAGUCGCCGGCCCAUCGUUGGAAAGCAAGCCAACAAUUACAAAAGACGACGACUUCCCACUGUGGAUGGUGGAAGGGCGCGCACACACAAGCACACACGUGAGGCGGAGCAUAGACGGUAACAAAAAGCAAAAAAAAAAUUGGAUUAGCGAUGUUGUGUGCCGUUCGAAACUCACAUCGACGCUGACUCCCUGAUCCAUAGACGCCACCAGCAUCUCAAUAGACUGAGAAGCAGACACACACACACACACGCGCGCGCGCGCGUAAGUGAACACACAAAGAAAACGAUUGUGAGGGGGCGUACUCGACUGCCCACUCGCGCAGCAUUUUGCAGCGGCUGGACAUCUUUAUGCUCCUCACCUUUGCGCAGCACAAGUAGAAAGCAGGCGUCAUGCGACCCUCGAGAGACCGGGACGCCGCUCGCCGCAAACGGCGCCGCGCGCGAGAGGACGAGGUCGAUGCCGCAGGCCCGCACCCACCGAGGCGAGAGGAGGUCGAGGACGACGAUGACGCGGACCACUCCUCCGGUGACGAGGCCAACGACGAGGAGGGGGAAGACUUGUACGGGGAGAACUUCAUGCAGGACUAUCUCCAGCCGGAUGAGGAGAGCGAGGUGGCCGAGGAGGAAGUCGGCGAGGACAACGACUGGAUUGCAGACGACGACAGCUCCGUUUCCGAGAUCUCCGAGGGCGGCCGCAUCGCUGUGGAUGAGCUGCUCGAGCGCCGUCGGGAGAAAGAGGAGGCGCUAGCCGAGGAGCGGAGGCAGCUGCAGGAAGGCAUCUUCAGCGACGUGGACGACGACGAUGGCGACGAUGACGAUGAUGCGUCGUGGGCUUCCGAAGAGGGCGCGGGCGGUUUGACACGGAGUGGGGGCGCCGCGGUUGGCGAUCAAGGCAGCGACAUCGAUCACGGAGAGGACGUCGGCUACGGCGAUCCCAACGACGAAGCCUACGUGCGUGGAGACCUGGAGUCGAUGAGCUUCAACUGGCGGCAGCCGCAGGGGGAGCUGGUGGAGUGGCUUGCGCAGGAGCUGCCUCGCCGCGUGAUUAAGAACCGCAUCUACAACUUCUACUACAACUACAUCGUGAACGACGUCAGCGUCUACGAGGAGAAGGUGAAGGCAAUGACGCGCGAAAACGACAAGAGUUUUCAGCUGAGCUACGAUCAUCUGAGCCGCGUGUACGACAGUGUUCUCGCGCUGUGGCUGGUGGACGCUCCAGAUCCGAUGAUCGAGCUACUGGAGGAGGCUGCCAACUACUUCACCUUCAAGCUAUACCCGCAGUAUCGCAAGGUGCACUCGCACAUCUUUGUUCGGAUUUGCGACCUGCCCUUGUGCGAUCCGAUCCGCGACUUUCGCCAGGUGCACAUGAAUGUGCUCGUACGGGUGGAGGGGGUGGUGAUUCGCCGCUCACCGGUGUACCCGCAGAUGGACGCCGUCAAGUACGACUGCGCGCGGUGCUCCUACAUUAUCGGUCCCAUCUACCAGCGCGGCGACAAGGAGCAGCGCGUGAGCAUGUGCCCCAGCUGCCACAGCAAGGGGCCGUUCCGCGUGAACAUGCGCCUGACGGAGUACCGCAACCAUCAAACGAUAGUUCUGCAGGAGCCCCCUGGCAAGGUACCGCCUGGGCGGCUGCCGCGCAGCUUGGAGGUGGUACUGACGAACGACCUCAUUGAUCGCGCGAAACCUGGCGAGGAGGUGGACGUGACGGGGAUAUACCGCAACAACUUCGAUCCGUUGCUCAACAGCCGCCAAGGCUUUCCCGUCUUCACGACCGUGCUGCACGCGAACAACGUUAUCCGACGCACUACGGAGCUGGGCAUGUUUCGGCUGCCAGAUGAUGAACGACAACGCAUUAUAGAGCUCAGUAAGUCGCCCAACAUUCGAAAGAAGCUCUUACAGUCCAUUGCGCCGAGCAUCCACGGCCGCGACGACAUCAAGCUCGGGCUGCUGCUGGCCAUGAUGGGUGCAGUGCCAAAGGACAUCGGCGGCGACCAGUCGCAUCGCAUUCGGGGCGACAUCAACGUCCUCAUGGUUGGCGAUCCCGGCUGCGCAAAGUCGCAGUUUCUCAAGUUUGUUGAGAAAACGGCCGACCGCACAGUCUUCACGACUGGCCGCGGCUCCACCGCUGUUGGUCUGACGGCAUCUGUGCACAAGGACAGCGUCAAUGGCGACUUCGUGCUGGAGGGCGGCGCCCUCGUCAUUGCGGACCGCGGCUGCUGCCUCAUUGACGAGUUCGACAAAAUGUCUGACCAAGAUCGAACGUCCAUCCACGAGGCUAUGGAACAGCAGACGAUCUCGGUGGCGCGCGGUGGCAUUGUAACGACGCUGUCCGCGCGCUGCUGCAUCAUCGCGGCGGCGAAUCCAAUGGGCGGCCGCUACGACCCUUCUACCUCGUUUGAUGCCAACGUGAAUCUUACCACACCGAUCCUCUCCCGCUUCGACUUGUUGUUUGUGGUGCGGGAUGAGGUGAACGUCGAAUUGGACGAGCGGCUUGCGACGUUUAUCUGCGACUCGCACAUGCGCAACCACCCGCGAACGCAGGAGGAGACGCGGCUUCUGCAGCGCGACAGGCACGAGGAGCUGUCGAGGUUGCGCUACGCGCUGGAGAACGCGUCAACAGAGGGCGAGCGCGAGGAGUGCGAGGAGCAGCUGCGGCGCCUGCGCGAGAGCGUCGAGGAUUCUUCCCGCUUCGAGGACGACGACCCAGACAGCGACAAGCCGCUCCCGCAAUCCUUGCUGCGCAAGUACAUCCUGUUCGCGAAGAGUCACUGCUUUCCCCGCAUCUCCAACAUCGACCCCGAUACCAUUGCACGUCUAUAUGUCGAGCUGCGGCAGGAGUCGAAGCACGGCGGCAUCGCCAUCACAGUGCGGCACAUGGAAUCCGUCAUUCGCCUCUCCGAGGCGCACGCACGGGUGCAUCUUCGGGAAUACGUGACCGACGAGGACGUCACCGCGGCCGUCUCGCUCUUUCUCCGCUGCUUCAUACAGACACAGAAGUACAGUCUACGCAGCGCGAUGGAGGCGCGCUUCCGCAAGUUCCUCGAAUCCGACACGGAAAGUCUACCACUCAUUCGCCACCGCAUCAAGGUGGCGGUGCAGACGGUGCGCCAGUUCGAGCGCCAGCUGUCUGGUGGGGUGGAGCCGACCCAAGUGCGCAUCGACGUAUCGGAGCUGGACUACUACACAGCGAACAUGUCUCAAGAGGCCCUGAACGCCUUCUAUGAGAGUGCGGAGUUCAGGAAGGAGUACCGGCUGAUUCGCGACCCCGUGACGCACGCGCCUCUGCAGAUUGAGCACUCGCUGGCGUGACGCGUGCCGUGCGCUUGCCCCCUCUCUGCUGCGACUUCCAAUGCGCAUUAAAGGCACGACAGGUGCUGUAUCAACAGAAAACGAAGAAAGAGAGAUAAGCCUUUGGAUGGGGCAGGGGGCGUGUCGUUAGGUGUGUGUGUGUGCGCGCGUGUCUCCGAGUCAUGUCGAUCGACGAAAUGCCCUCUCGCCUGCUGGUUUGUGUAGGCGUGUGCAUUCACCGCGUUUGGUGAUGGGCGCUCUGUUUUCUUUUCCUAUCUUUGGUGUGGUCGCCCGCAUGUCCCGUCUCUUGUGUUCGCGGUGCCCCCCCUCCCUUUGUGUUGCUGUUUGGCCCGUUGAGCCGCGGCACGGUUGCUCGCGCGCGCCCGCCGUGCGGAGGGGACGUUUUCUGCACAGCUCUCCAACAUUCACAUACACACACC